AUUAUUUUAAGUGUGCUGUAACUGACUUUUUAUAUAUGUGAAUUUUCAACUUCUUUUUCUUGUUUUUUUUGUUGUAAUUGAAUUGUGGAUUCGAGGGAAAGUGUUACUGGUGGAGCUUUGGUUGAACUGAAGUUGAGGGAUUUGAAUUUUUCUUGGCUGUAUGCUUUUGAUGUUUUUUUAAUUUUUAAAGCUCAAACCUUAUUGGGCAUUUUUAGUACUGAAAUAUGAGAUGAAUUUACUUGUGUCUUAGGUGUAUAUAUAUGUCAUCUUUG
rnacentral:misc_RNA from 1 species